GAUGAACGCUGGCGGCGUGCCUAAUACAUGCAAGUCGAGCGAACAGAUGAGGAGCUUGCUCCUCUGACGUUAGCGGCGGACGGGUGAGUAACACGUGGAUAACCUACCUAUAAGACUGGGAUAACUUCGGGAAACCGGAGCUAAUACCGGAUAAUAUAUUGAACCGCAUGGUUCAAUAGUGAAAGACGGUUUUGCUGUCACUUAUAGAUGGAUCCGCGCCGCAUUAGCUAGUUGGUAAGGUAACGGCUUACCAAGGCAACGAUGCGUAGCCGACCUGAGAGGGUGAUCGGCCACACUGGAACUGAGACACGGUCCAGACUCCUACGGGAGGCAGCAGUAGGGAAUCUUCCGCAAUGGGCGAAAGCUUGACGGAGCAACGCCGCGUGAGUGAUGAAGGUCUUCGGAUCGUAAAACUCUGUUAUUAGGGAAGAACAAAUGUGUAAGUAACUAUGCACGUCUUGACGAUACCUAAUCAGAAAGCCACGGCUAACUACGUG
rnacentral:rRNA from 1 species